ensembl:lncRNA
AAAUAAAAUAAAAAUAAUAAUAAUAAUAAAAAAGAAAAAUUGAAAAAAGAAAAAGACCUUUCCAUAUUUACUUCUCUCCCUUUAAUAUACAACACACAGUAAAAUAUACAUUACAAAGAAGCAUUGAUAUUAUUGACAUUGAACAAAGUAUAAAAGAUUUUAAGGCUUUGGCAUUAUUGAAGAUCUAAGUUACAUUUCAGGUCUUUACAACAAAAAAUAAUAAAAAGAAGUUUCACAGAAAAAAAAAAAAGUUUAAAAAUUGUCCAGAAAAAUAAAUCGAUUUAUUAGGAAAUAUUUGUCUUCUAUAAAAACCAAAUAACACAUCUUUAAACACCAAAGAAAAAAAAAACACAAAUAAGUAACUCACAGCUACAACAGACAUUAACAACAACACAAAAAUGAUGAAGAACCAGGAAAAUGGUUACACAAAAGAGGUUAUGUGCAUUUCUUCACUCAUACACAUUCUCAAUGGUAACUGAAAAUAAAUAAAGUGAAUAGUGAUUAAUAAUAAGCUCGGGAGGAGACGGUAAAGGGGGCUGUAAGAGGCCACUAAAAAUCUACAAUUUUUAUCAUUUAGAAACAUAAAUAUAUUUGUAUAAAGUCUUAUAUAAGAAAUAAUAUUAAAAAAACUCCCAUCUAUCUAUAUUUUGUGCUCUCCGUCCAAUUCAGUACAUAACUGAACUCACACAAUGAAACAUAACUCUGUGGUCCCAAUAUGACAGUUUUCAUAUUUUGUACUUGUGCAUUAAAGGGGUCAUAUGAUGCUGCUAAAAAGAACAUUAUUUUGUGUAUUUGGUGUGUGGAAUUACAAAUAUUUAAAAUCUUAAAUCUAGGUUCCAAUGUAAUAGUUUAUAAACUAAAAAAGUUAUGUACAUUGUGUUUUACAUUUUGAGGUAAAAAAAGGAUCAAAUCAGGAAGCCCAGGUGUCUGAGAUAAUGAUCUUUUGUCUUUGUGCUCUUCCUUGCCAUUUGGCUUUUUAAGACUGAUUGGAUUAGCACCUAUGCAUUUGAAGGACACUGUUAUGCUGAUGAGAUCAGCGAUGGGGAAACUCCUGUAACAGGAGUUUCCUGUACUGCAUUUGCAUGCUUUGCUUAGAUGGUCUCCACCUCUAUGUAUGCCUCCCCCUUGAAAUGUAUAUAAACCACAAUGUAUCAAUGACUAGUUAGACUUUUGAUGACUUCAGCGCCAUCCAGCGCGUUCUCAAUAAAGAAUUCUGCUGAAGAUUACCCAAGAGUCUCCUGGUCUUCACUUUUGAGUUUCCAACAGGUGUAAUGAAAUGUGUUUAUGCGGUUUAAGGUUUAAAAAAACACAUUAUUUUCCACAUACUGUACAUUAUUGUUUCUCCUCUAUGCCCCGCCUUCUGAAACGUGUCGAUUUUCACAAAGCUUAUCACUCUGAAAAGCGAGGUGUGCUGUGAUUGGCCAGCUAUCCAGUGCGUUGUUAUUGGCCGAAUGCCUCAAGGAUGUGACGGAAAUGCUACACCCCUCACCAUACUGUGAUGCCCUGUCCGGCCGGAGCGAAGAGACGUAAACAUAAAACCCAUUAUAAACGUGAUAUAAACAUGAUUUCUAGUCGUGUUUACUUUUGGAAGGCCAAACAAAGUAGUUUUGCUUUCUCAACGAAACAACGUCACACACUGCAGCCUUGAGUGAGUGAAGACUGGAGGCCUAGAGUGAGCGGAGGCUGGAGGUCUAGAGUGAGCGGAGGUCAGAGGUCUAGAGUGAGCCGCGGUCUAGCGUGAGCGGAGGCUGCAGGUCUAGAGUGAGCCGUGGUCUAGAGUGAGCGGAGGCUGGAGGUCUAGAGUGAGCAGAGGUCUAGAGUGAGCCGCGGUCUAGAGUGAGCGGAGGCUGGAGGUCUAGAGUGAGCCGCGGUCUAGAGUGAGUGGAGGCUGGAGGUCUAGAGUGAGCCGCGAUCUAGAGUGAGCGGAGGCUGGAGGUCUAGAGUGAGCCGCGAUCUAGAGUGAGCGGAGGCUGGAGGUCUAGAGUGAGCGGAGGCUGCAGGUCUAGAGUGAGCAGAGGCUGGUGGCUUGAGAACGGUGCGGCAGGCAGAUUCUACGAAGGAGCGUACCUUGGUCUUGCAGCAACCACAUGUGAUGACCCUGGGCUGGACGCCGCUUCGUACAUGGUGAAAGCUGAUCCUGCGAUCCACAGUGCAAAGUUGAUGUAUAUCCUCAGCGACCAGCACGGAUCAGCUCCAGGCAUAACGAAGCGGAUAUCGUCCUCUUUUGGAAGUAGUUUUGCUUUCACAUGAAACACACAGCGUCUAUACGACAUGGCGGCGGCGGCGGCAACAACAAUACUACAACGAGAAUAAAAGCUACACCUUCUUUCUUUGUGUGAACAUCUAGGCCCGUGUUAUGCAAAUCUUCACACAUACUGACGUAGAGAUGUGGGGCGUGUUAGAACAAGCCGUUUCAGGGGGGCGUGGACGAGUGUUAACUUUUAAAAGAAUAUCUCUUUGGGUUUGAGACUUUAGUCUUUGCAGCUUUACAGAUCUUCUUUAUGCACCAAGAGCUUGUAACACUCCAAAGAGAAAGGAAAAUUUGAAAUCGCAUCAUGUGACCUCUUUAAACAGGCAGCUUCCAGUAACAUGAAUGACACUCUAACAAUCAUGUUCAUGUGUUUAAAUGGAGUCAGUGUUUUAAUUAUUAGGAUGACUGUAAUCGUUCAAUCUCAGGUUUUUACAGUUCAUAGGUCACUUCUCCAGAAUAAAAAGGACAAGUUGAAUGCUUUUGGUCACUCUCCUGUACGGGCUUGCUAUCUGUAGUUUCCACUGUGGGUGAUGCCUUCUUCUUACAGCAGAAAAGAAGAAGACGAAAGCAAAUGAAGAGUGAGAAACAAAUAAAGAGUGAGAAAGAUGAG